CUAACCUAUAAAAUCCUGCAUAAAAGCAGCAAUAAACGCUCAGUGGAGUCAGUUCUUCUUCACCCUUCAAAACGUAGCUGUGUCUCGUUGUUGAAAGGGAAUUUGCAGCUUAAUCACUAGCUCUUUUCAGAGCUCUGCCUCUCUACUGCUGCAGGGAUCCAGCGGAUGGACUUCACCUCUCCCCUACAGCCCAGCAUCUUGCCCAGAGGAAGGACGUCACCAACGGCAGAUACCCCUCACUACCCUGG